UAGGGAAUAUUGCACAAUGGGGGGAAACCCUGAUGCAGCGACGCCGCGUGAAGGAAGAAGUAUCUCGGUAUGUAAACUUCUAUCAGCAGGGAAGACAAUGACGGUACCUGACUAAGAAGCCCCGGCUAACUACGUGCC
rnacentral:rRNA from 1 species